GACGAACGCUGGCGGCGUGCUUAACACAUGCAAGUCGAACGGAAAGGCCCCUUUGGGGGUACUCGAGUGGCGAACGGGUGAGUAACACGUGAGUAACCUGCCCUUGACUUCGGGAUAACUUCAGGAAACUGGGGCUAAUACCGGAUAGGAAUCCUUGCUGCAUGGUGGGGGUUGGAAAGCUUCGGCGGUUUUGGAUGGACUCGCGGCUUAUCAGCUUGUUGGUGGGGUAGUGGCUUACCAAGGCUUUGACGGGUAGCCGGCCUGAGAGGGCGACCGGCCACAUUGGGACUGAGAUACGGCCCAGACUCCUACGGGAGGCAGCAGUGGGGAAUAUUGCACAAUGGGCGGCAGCCUGAUGCAGCAACGCCGCGUGCGGGAUGACGGCCUUCGGGUUGUAAACCGCUUUCGGCAGGGGCGAAGCUUGUGGUGACGGUACCUGCAGAAGAAGCACCGGCUAACUACGUG
rnacentral:rRNA from 1 species